AUUAACAGAUAUAGUCUUUAAACUUAAAGAAUUUGGCGGCGAUUUAGUCUUGUUAGAGGAACCUGUUUUAUAAGUCGACACACCACGUAGUAUCUUACUCAUUUUACUGUUAAGUUUAUAUACCGUCAUUAUCAGAUAAUUUUUAAAAAACCAAUUAUUAAGUUUUAAAAAGUUAAGUAAAAUUAGAUCAAGGUGUAGCUGAUAGAUGAGCCAAAAUGGGUUACAAUUAAUUUUAUUAACAUGGAGUAAUAGCAAGAAUAAACAUUAUGAAGGAGGAUUUAAUUGUAAUGUAAGUUUAAUAAGCUUAGGAGAUAUAAGCCCUAAAUCGU
rnacentral:rRNA from 1 species